rnacentral:rRNA from 1 species
CCUACGGGAGGCAGCAGUGGGGAAUAUUGCACAAUGGGGGAAACCCUGAUGCAGCGACGCCGCGUGAGUGAAGAAGUAUUUCGGUACGUAAAGCUCUAUCAGCAGGGAAGAAAAUGACGGUACCUGACUAAGAAGCCCCGGCUAACUACGUGCCAGCAGCCGCGGUAAUACGUAGGGGGCAAGCGUUAUCCGGAUUUACUGGGUGUAAAGGGAGCGUAGACGGCAGCACAAGUCUGGAGUGAAAUCCCAUGGCUUAACCAUGGAACUGCUUUGGAAACUGUGCAGCUAGAGUGCAGGAGAGGUAAGCGGAAUUCCUAGGGUAGCGGUGAAAUGCGUAGAUAUUAGGAGGAACACCAGUGGCGAAGGCGGCUUACUGGACUGUAACUGACGUUGAGGCUCGAAAGCGUGGGGAGCAAACAGGAUUAGAUACCCUAGUAGUC